rfam:Schistosoma mattheei strain Denwood, Zambia genome assembly, scaffold: SMTD_scaffold0003660
UCACUGCCGAGGAGUCCCACAAUAGGACGAAACGGCCGUCCAGUGC